rfam:Myotis davidii contig182595, whole genome shotgun sequence.
UGUGGUUCUCAGGUGAUGCACCCGGAACCAGAGAGGAGGGAGCCUGAUUCCAGGGUGUGUCACUUGAGAACUGCU